rnacentral:rRNA from 1 species
AACGAACGCUGGCGGCAUGCCUAACACAUGCAAGUCGAACGAGACCUUCGGGUCUAGUGGCGCACGGGUGCGUAACGCGUGGGAAUCUGCCCAAAGGUACGGAACAACUCCUCGAAAGGGGUGCUAAUACCGUAUGAUGUCGCAAGACCAAAGAUUUAUCGCCUUUGGAUGAGCCCGCGUAGGAUUAGCUUGUUGGUGGGGUAAAGGCCUACCAAGGCGACGAUCCUUAGCUGGUCUGAGAGGAUGAUCAGCCACACCUGGGACUGAGACACGGCCCAGACUCCUACGGGAGGCAGCAGUGGGGAAUUUUGGGUACAAUGGGCGCAAGCCUGAUCCAGCAAUGCCGCGUGCAGGA